AAACACACUUUGCUGGGGGGGUUAGGGCAGCCACUAUUCACGUGAAUAGUAGCUGUCCUAGGGCUCCCCUUGCCAUGGCAAGGGGCUAACAGGUGGAAAUGCUCUUAUGCCAUCAACAAGAAUUGCUUUCCCAACUAGCUCAUUAUUUCUUAAAAUAGAACCAAAAAAAAAAAUAAACAAAAAAAAUCAUCAAAGUCCAAACUGAACUUUGACUUUACAAGCCUACUAACUGAAACGAAGUUCUUUCUCAUCAAAGGAACAUAAACCAUCUAGCUCCAAAAUAAAACCAAAAUCUAGUUCAACCCUAAUUACUCCGAUUAAUGAAAUCUAUUUACUUGGACUUUGACUUUAUUGCCCACGAACACCUUCAAUUCAUCCUUGUUUGGUGGCUUAUUCCUUAUGAAUCCCUUUAGACUUUUGCUUUUCCAACCACCUCUUGUACCUUUUACAGUCCUUCUUCAUAUGCCCAAUGAUAAGCCUAUAUUUUAUGCCUCCUUUACUUAUUUAUUUGUUAGUUUUCUUGGAUUAAAUUGGUUGUUUUAAUUUGUUUUAUGAGAUUUGUGAAGGAAUUGUGAAAUAGGAGAAAUUGAGGUAAAAAUGGGCAAGAAGAUGAAGAUUGGAGAUUAAUUAAAAGAAGUCAAGUCAUUCCUUUUAUCGCAAGGAGUGCUGUCAAAUUUUUCAAUUCAAGAUGGUUCAAGUCUUACCAAAUCAAACAAGGAGAAAUAA
rnacentral:lncRNA from 1 species